AGGACGAACGCUUGCGACGUGCCUAAGAAAUGCAAGUCGAGCGGGGGAGCAAUCCCUAGCGGCGAACGGUCGCGUAACACGUAGGCAACCUGCCCGAAAGACCGGGACAACAGCGCGAAAGCGCUGCUAAAUACCGGAUGUGGUCGCGGGAAGACAUCUUCUGGCGAGUAAAUCACUUGUUGGCUUUCGGAGGGGCCUGCGGCCUAUCAGCUAGAUGGCGGAGUAACGGCCCACCAUGGCGACGACGGGUAGCUGGU
rnacentral:rRNA from 1 species